rnacentral:misc_RNA from 1 species
AAUUGAUAAGAAACUUGUGCACCAGUCAAGACCCAUCUCCCAGAUAUCGUCCAAAAUAAUGAGACAGGAUAAUUUUUGGAGGCAUUGGGAAAUUUUCACUAUCAUCGCCCACUUGUCAGAAAUGUCUUUUCCUAAUGUUUCUCCUAAUUGUUGUAAGAUGGUACUCAAGAUCUCCUCCACUUUAAAGGUUUGAGAAACUGACACCCAUAUCCGCCGGUCGAAGUGACCACGUGUAUCGGGAUCGUUAAAUACUAGCUUGGCAAUGGUCGUUUUCCCCAACCCUGCCAUCCCCACAAUGCCAAUCUUUUGAAACUCGUAGCCUUGGCUAAGAAUCCACGCUUUUAUCUUUCUCAAGUCUCUCUCACGUCCAAUUAUUUCAUCAGAUGUGUUAUACUUAAAUCUAAACUGGUUCAUGUCAACAUGUUCAUGGCUGCUGCUUCGAUCUUGUGCCUGUAAAUGGUUGCACAAAAUAACCUCCACCUUCUUCAUCCUUGUAUUAAUAUCCCUUAAUUUCUUGCUUGUUUGAUGGCGGAAGAAGAAAUCCGUAAGUGACAGAUUGCAGAAGGAUCCAUUUUCUUCAUAUUCUUCUCCGAUAAGGUAAUCUGUCAAUACAUCAUCAGCUUCAUACAUCAAGUCUCUGAAAUGGGCCAAGGUGAUAAGGAUAAUUUCUUUAUUGCUCUUAUCGUCGUCCCCAAGUAAGACAUGUAU